GGUGCUGCUGGCCUGGCCGGUGGGCGGCCUGCUUGCGGCCGGCGCAGCCUGGAUCAUCGGCAAGGCGGCGCUG
rnacentral:tRNA from 1 species